rnacentral:rRNA from 1 species
AGAGUUUGAUCCUGGCUCAGAGCGAACGCUGGCGGCAGGCUUAACACAUGCAAGUCGAGCGGACCUUUCGGGGUCAGCGGCGGACGGGUGAGUAACGCGUGGGAACGUGCCUUCCGGUUCGGAAUAACCCUGGGAAACUAGGGCUAAUACCGGAUACGCCCUUAUGGGGAAAGGUUUACUGCCGGAAGAUCGGCCCGCGUCUGAUUAGCUAGUUGGUGGGGUAACGGCCUACCAAGGCGACGAUCAGUAGCUGGUCUGAGAGGAUGAUCAGCCACACUGGGACUGAGACACGGCCCAGACUCCUACGGGAGGCAGCAGUGGGGAAUAUUGGACAAUGGGCGCAAGCCUGAUCCAGCCAUGCCGCGUGAGUGAUGAAGGCCUUAGGGUUGUAAAGCUCUUUUAUCCGGGACGAUAAUGACGGUACCGGAGGAAUAAGCCCCGGCUAACUUCGUGCCAGCAGCCGCGGUAAUACGAAGGGGGCUAGCGUUGCUCGGAAUCACUGGGCGU